UACGGGGGGAGCAAGCGUUGUUCGGAUUUACUGGGCGUAAAGGGCGCGUAGGCGGCACUGCAAGUCAGUUGUGAAAUCUCCGGGCUUAACCCGGAAAGGUCAACUGAUACUGCAGGGCUAGAGUGCAGAAGGGGCAACUGGAACUCUCGGUGUAGCGGUGAAAUGCGUAGAUAUCGAGAGGAACACCUGCGGCGAAGGCGGGUUGCUGGGCUGACACUGACGCUGAGGCGCGAAAGCCAGGGGAGCGAACGGG
rnacentral:rRNA from 1 species